UACAGAGGGUGCAAGCGUUGUUCGGAAUUAUUGGGCGUAAAGCGCGUGUAGGCGGCUUGGCAAGUCGGGCGUGAAAGCCCUCGGCUCAACCGAGGAAGUGCACCCGAAACUGCCUGGCUUGAGUACCGGAGAGGAGGGCAGAAUUCCCCAAGUAGAGGUGAAAUUCGUAGAUAUGGGGAGGAACACCGGUGGCGAAGGCGGCCCUCUGGACGGAUACUGACGCUGAGACGCGAAAGCGUGGGUAGCAAACAGG
rnacentral:rRNA from 1 species